GACGAACGCUGGCGGCGUGCCUAACACAUGCAAGUCGAGCGAUGAACCCUUCGGGGGGAUUAGCGGCGGACGGGUGAGUAACACGUGGGUAACCUACCUCAAAGAGGGGGAUAGCCUCCCGAAAGGGAGAUUAAUACCGCAUAAUAUUGAGCUAUCGCAUGGUAGUUUAAUUAAAGGAGCAAUCCGCUUUGAGAUGGACCCGCGGCGCAUUAGCUAGUUGGUGAGGUAACGGCUCACCAAGGCGACGAUGCGUAGCCGACCUGAGAGGGUGAUCGGCCACAUUGGAACUGAGACACGGUCCAGACUCCUACGGGAGGCAGCAGUGGGGAAUAUUGCACAAUGGGCGAAAGCCUGAUGCAGCAACGCCGCGUGAGUGAUGAAGGCCUUCGGGUUGUAAAGCUCUGUCUUCUGGGACGAUAAUGACGGUACCAGAGGAGGAAGCCACGGCUAACUACGUGCCAGCAGCCGCAGUAAUAC
rnacentral:rRNA from 1 species